rnacentral:ncRNA from 1 species
ACAGAGAUAAAAACGCAACGCAGAUUAUUCUGCCAGAGCCGGUAGGUAGCCCGGCCGUCUCAUCGUUGAUGAGGUAAGUAACCUUCCCUCCGGGUCGUCCGUUCUUUGUCUGU